AUUGAACGCUGGCGGCAUGCUUUACACAUGCAAGUCGAACGGCAGCGCGGGCUUCGGCCUGGCGGCGAGUGGCGAACGGGUGAGUAAUGCAUCGGAACGUGCCCAGUAGUGGGGGAUAGCCCGGCGAAAGCCGGAUUAAUACCGCAUACGACCUGAGGGUGAAAGCGGGGGACCGAAAGGCCUCGCGCUAUUGGAGCGGCCGAUGUCGGAUUAGCUAGUUGGUGGGGUAAAGGCUUACCAAGGCGACGAUCCGUAGCUGGUCUGAGAGGACGACCAGCCACACUGGAACUGAAACAGGCCCCAAACCCCUAGGGAGGCCGGCGGUGGGAAAUUUUGGACAAGGGGGCAACCCUGAUCCAGCCAUGCCGCGUGCGGGAAGAAGGCCUUCGGGUUGUAAACCGCUUUUGUUCGGGAAGAAAUCCUCUGGGCUAAUACCCCGGGGGGAUGACGGUACCGGAAGAAUAAGCACCGGCUAACUACGUG
rnacentral:rRNA from 1 species